AACCUAGCACACCUGCGGUGUGUACCUGCGGAAGGAUCAUUACAGAGUUGCAAAACUCCCUAAACCAUUGUGAACGUUACCUAAACCGUUGCUUCGGCGGGCGGCGCGCCCUCGCGCGCGCCCCUGGGCCCCACCGCGGGCGCCCGCCGGAGGUCACCAAACUCUUGAUAUUAAUUGGCCUCUCUGAGUCUUCUGUACUGAAUAAGUCAAAACUUUCAACAACGGAUCUCAGAUCGGAAG
rnacentral:misc_RNA from 1 species